rnacentral:misc_RNA from 1 species
UUGGAUGUGGGGGUUUGUGCAGGCUGCCUCAGUGCGGUCUGCUCCCCUGAAAUGCAUUAGCGAGUUACAACUGGGCUCCGUCUAUUGGUGUGAUAAUUAUCUACGCCGUGGAUUGGGCUUAGACUUGCUUCUAACCGUCCGCAAGGACAAUCUUUUGACAAUUUGACCUCAAAUCAGGUAGGACUACCCGCUGAACUUAA